rnacentral:rRNA from 1 species
UACAGAGGUCUCAAGCGUUGUUCGGAUUCAUUGGGCGUAAAGGGUGCGUAGGUGGCGCCGUAAGUCAGGUGUGAAAUCUCGGGGCUCAACCCCGAAACUGCACUUGAUACUGCGGUGCUCGAGUACUGGAGAGGAGACUGGAAUUUACGGUGUAGCGGUGAAAUGCGUAGAUAUCGUAAGGAAGACCAGUGGCGAAGGCGGGUCUCUGGACAGUUCCUGACGCUGAGGCACGAAGGCCAGGGGGAGCAAACGGG